GAAGUAAAUCACUAAGGGCGACACGUGCCCAGCCACCACACACGUGUCAUUGGGCAUGAUUAGAUUGAGUGGAAAAAGGAUAUGCGGCAGCGAUAUCCUACUUCCCACCUUGACUGCGGGAGCAUAUCCGACGGCACCUGAGAGGGUUUAUUCGCCGAAUACGGUCGGGCCGCUAACGCUCUCCGGAUUGGCGACCGAGGUCGACGUGGACCAAAGGCUGACGAAGUUUUUGAAAGUACCAAAAAAAAAAAUAUUCGAGGUGACCUCUUUUCCUUCCAUUACUGGUGGAGAGCAUAUUCUUUGUUGAAAUGAGAUUUGAUUCGACGCGGUUCGUUGUCCUCGUGUGCCUUGAAUUGGGACGAAGUUCAUCUAAAUCAUUUGGUUAUGUCAGACACCAAAAAUGUCCAAAUGUUCAGAUGAAUGCGACUGAAGAGAGGUAAUCAUCAGGUAAUGGAACCUACGUUCUCGAAUGUCGUGUAAUUGUCGAGUAGUGGAGUCAUGUAAAUGUCAAGAUAGUGGAGUAUUAGUAA